UUUUUGUGCCUUUUGGUUUAUGCUGCAAAUAUGCCCGUGGAAAACAGCCCACCUGUGUAGAAAAUCAUGCAAGCACAUGCAUUCUAAUGUCAUCUGCAAGUUCCUGUUGCAGAGGAAAUGAUAAAUAAGAUCAAGAAAUUUCUGGUGUUCAUAUAUGCCAAGUGACGGCUCUGAUAGCUCAUACAACCUCAUAUUAUUCUUUCUGUAUGAGCGAGGUUCAUGACGUAUCCCCUCAUUUUGCCCACAGUUCCAAUGGUGUAUGCAUAAUUUAGUGCGAUCAAUUUGUAAGAAUAGACUGCUAAAUUUGGUUUUGAGAUUUGUGUUCUAAACUGU